GACGAACGCUGGCGGCGUGCUUAACACAUGCAAGUCGAACGAAGUGGCGAACGGGUGCGUAACGCGUAAUCAACCUGCCCUUCAGAGGGGGACAACAGUUGGAAACGACUGCUAAUACCGCAAACUUAAUGAGGGGAUUGCGUCUGAUUAGCUAGUUGGAGGGGUAACGGCCCACCAAGGCGAUGAUCAGUAGCCGGUCUGAUAGGAUGAACGGCCACAUUGGGACUGAGACACGGCCCAGACUCCUACGGGAGGCAGCAGUGGUGAAUCUUCCGCAAUGGACGAAAGUCUGACCGAGCAACGCCGCGUGAGUGAAGAAGUGUUUCGGAUCGUAAAACUCUGUUGUUAGCGAAGCGUUAUCUAAACAGAAAGCCACGGCUAACUACGUGCCAGCAGCCGCGGUAAUAC
rnacentral:rRNA from 1 species